GAUGAACGCUGGCGGCGUGCUUAACACAUGCAAGUCGAACGAACGACUAUUAACAGAACCUUUCGGGGCGAAGAAUAUAGAAGUUAGUGGCGGACGGGUGCGUAACGCGUGGGUAAUCUGCCUUUGUCAAAGGAAUAACUAUUCGAAAGAAUAGCUAAAACCGUAUAACAUAUUAAUAGGGCAUCCUAAUAAUAUCAAAACGAUAGUGGACAAAGAUGAGCCCGCGUCUGAUUAGCUAGUUGGUGAGAUAAAAGCCCACCAAGGCAACGAUCAGUAGCCGACCUGAGAGGGUGAACGGCCACAUUGGAACUGAGACACGGUCCAAACUCCUACGGGAGGCAGCAGUGGGGAAUAUUGCACAAUGGGGGGAACCCUGAUGCAGCAACGCCGCGUGAGUGAAGAAGGCAUUCGUGUCGUAAAACUCUGUAGUAGGGGAAGAAAGAAAUGACAGUACCCUAAAAGAAAGCCCCGGCUAACUACGUGCCAGCAGCCGCGGUAAUACGUAGGGGGCAAGCGUUAUCCGGAAUAACUGGGCGUAAAGGGUGCGCAGGUGGUUUAACAAGUUAGUGGUGAAAGGCAUAGGCUCAACCAAUGUAAGCCAUUAAAACUGUUUAACUUGAGUGCAGGAGAGGAAAGUGGAAUUCCUAGUGUAGCGGUGAAAUGCGUAGAUAUUAGGGGGAAUACCAGUGGCGAAGGCGACUUUCUGGACUGCAACUGACACUGAGGCACGAAAGCGUGGGGAGCAAACAGG
rnacentral:rRNA from 1 species